UUUUGAGAUUGACGGUGGGUAGGAACUAACUUAUUAUAGCCCGCUCCACUUUUGUUUGAUCACCCCUGAGUGACUGCCGCAGAUCCCGCGAAGCUCCUGUUCGACCUAUAUGCGGCGUGGCAUCAAUUCUCGGAAGGGCUAUAGAAAGUAGAGCUAUUGGUGAUUUUCGCUGUAUUUUAAAUCAGGAUCCUUUCAAAAUGAGGCAGGUUCUACAUUUCGAGUCGCCGAAUUUCUCCGCGAAGAAAAUCUACUGAGGUCUAAUUGUCUUCUUUCCAAGGUGGCAGCAAAACUUUAUUUUUUACAUAACCUAACGUUUUCCCUUCAAAUUUCCUUUCAGU